CGUGGAGACAGGUGGUGCAUGGCUGUCGUCAGCUCGUGUCGUGAGGUGUUGGGUUAAGUCCCGCAACGAGCGCAACCCUCACCCCUUGUUGCCAUCAGGUCACGCUGGGCACUCUAGGGGAACUGCCCCGGUCAACGGGGAGGAAGGUGGGGACGACGUCAAGUCAUCAUGCCCCUUACGCCCUGGGCUACACACGUGCUACAAUGGCCGGUACAAAGGGAUGCAAGACCGUGAGGUGGAGCUAAACCCAAAAAGCCGGUCUAAGUUCAGAUUGGAGUCUGCAACUCGACUCCAUGAAGGAGGAAUCGCUAGUAAUCGCGCAUCAGCACGGCGCGGUGAAUACGUUCCCGGGCCUUGUACACACCGCCCGUCACACCACGAAAGCCAGCUGUACUCGAAGUCGCUGAG
rnacentral:rRNA from 1 species